ACUCUAAACAGGCUGAAACGGUUCCCUGUCAGUAGGGUCCUUCAUUGGGCCUGAAAGCGAUCACGACAUCAACCAUAUGCAUACGGGACGUCGGCCAAUGUUACUGUGAACAAACCAGCGUGUCCAAGGCAGGCUUGCGACCUGAACGUUCGAGCAUGGAAUAACAAGGGAUCGAUUCUCUCGGUUCUUUUUGUUGGUUU
rnacentral:rRNA from 1 species